GACGAACGCUGGCGGCGUGCUUAACACAUGCAAGUCGAACGGAAAGGCCCUGCUUUUGUGGGGUGCUCGAGUGGCGAACGGGUGAGUAACACGUGAGUAACCUGCCCUUGACUUUGGGAUAACUUCUGGAAACUGGGGCUAAUACCGGAUAGGAGCUCCUGCUGCAUGGUGGGGGUUGGAAAGUUUCGGCGGUUGGGGAUGGACUCGCGGCUUAUCAGCUUGUUGGUGGGGUAGUGGCUUACCAAGGCUUUGACGGGUAGCCGGCCUGAGGGGGUGACCGGCCACAUUGGGACUGAGAUACGGCCCAGACUCCUACGGGAGGCAGCAGUGGGGAAUAUUGCACAAUGGGCGGAAGCCUGAUGCAGCAACGCCGCGUGCGGGAUGACGUCCUUCGGGUUGUAAACCGCUUUCGCCUGUGACGAAGCGUGAGUGACGGUAAUGGGUAAAGAAGCACCGGCUAACUACGUG
rnacentral:rRNA from 1 species